rnacentral:rRNA from 1 species
UACGAAGGGGGCUAGCGUUGCUCGGAAUCACUGGGCGUAAAGCGCACGUAGGCGGCUUUUAAGUCAGGGUGAAAUCCUGGAGCUCAACUCCAGAACUGCCUUUGAUACUGAGAAGCUUGAGUCCGGGAGAGGUGAGUGGAACUGCGAGUGUAGAGGUGAAAUUCGUAGAUAUUCGCAAGAACACCCGUGGCGAAGGCGGCUCUCUGGGACGGUACUGACACUGAGACGCGAAAGCGUGGGGAGCGAACAGG